UACAGAGGUCCCGAGCGUUGUUCGGAUUCACUGGGCGUAAAGGGUGCGUAGGUGGCUGGGAAAGUUUGAUGUGAAAGCUCAGGGCUUAACCCUGAAAUGGCAUUGAAUACUGCCUGGCUGGAGGUUUGGAGGGGGGACUGGAAUUCUUGGUGUAGCAGUGAAAUGCGUAGAUAUCAAGAGGAACACCAGUGGCGAAGGCGAGUCCCUGGACAACACCUGACACUGAGGCACGAAAGCCGGGGGAGCAAACAGG
rnacentral:rRNA from 1 species